GAUUAAGAUGAUGAUUAAGAUGAUGAUUAAGAUGAUAAUUAAUAUGAUGAUUAAGAUGUUGAUAAGAGAAUGAGACUAUUAAGUUUGCGACCAUAGGCUAGUGAGCGGGCUGCCAUGGCGUAAAUGAUAUAGUUAGAUAAUGAUGUCAAGUAUUAAUAAGCAUCAUUGACAUAAUGAUCAUGGAUAUUUUACUGAUGUCAUGACGUUGUGGAUAUGAUGACGAUCACAAUA